rnacentral:lncRNA from 1 species
CCCCCCCGUGUUGUGAGCAUGAGGAUGCGUCUGUAGAUUUUGUGUGUCUGUGGGAUCCACGUGAGUCUCAAUGAUUCCACAUAAGACUGUGAGCGCCAAGGGGGUGAUUGUGGGUUUUCAUUGUGUAUGCAUUGUGUGCAAUCUCCACGUGGUGUGGGGGGAGCCCAGUGUGUCCCUGGGGGUCCCGGUGUGUCUGAUCUGAUGCUCCUGCAGGGCCCCUCCUGUUCCCCUUCCAUUUGGGUGCACGAAGAAGACCCCGAGACUGGGCCAGUGCUUCAGGGCCAGAGAGGAGGAGGCGGGAGAGGCCUCCUGCCCCUCAACCUGUAAACACAGUAAAAUUGUCGCCAGCACCACAGCGGCCUGUGUCCUGCUCAGGCACUGUUUGCAUCGCUUGUCUUGGGAGCACAGAUGGGGCAGUGGGGGCGGGGAGGUGUUCCCUGAAGCCCUGGAGAGCACGUUUCUUUCCCACACUCUUUGUCCUGCACGGGUCUCUGGGCCAGUCCUGAGGGGCCCUGAGCAGGCAAGUGGAGAGGAGCUGAGCAGGGCCGCCCCGCCCCUGCCCAGCGGGAAAGCAGCCGCCAAGUCUGACAGGGCCAGAGGGACAGUCCCAGGCUGGUGAGGCUCAGAAGGGACCUCCUGCUCUCAGCUUAGAUCUGGGGUGGUAAUCUGGGGCCGGCCAGAUGGCAGCAGAUCAGAAUGGAUCCGGAUCAGGAUGGAGAUGGGGAUGAGGAUCUCACUGCUGAGCCUCUAGGCGCCCAGCCAGCACAGCACAGAAGCACCUCAGGUCUUGGGGCUCACGUGAGCUGUCUAGGAGCCCCUGAGAUGGGUGUGGGAGGCACAGAUCCACGCAGAGGACCAGAGAAUCAUCCCGACCACUGCUGGCACUUUCCAGGCCAUUUCCUAGCUGACAACCACUCUGAAUUGGGUGACUGCCUCCUGCCACCUGCAGCCUGAGGAUCAUUUUAUGACUGAUGACUCUGCAGGGCUUAGCCCCUACCACCAGCCCACCCCAUGAUCAGGAAUCCAGGCCCCUGUGUCUCUGCUGCUCUGAAGUAUGAAGUUCUGUGAUCCUCUGAUCUUCCUUUCAACUGUCAUAUACCUUUUCCUGUAAGUCCUGGCUGAGACUCAGGGGCUGUAGUACAUGGGGCAGAGGCACCAGGCAGAGAGCUGACAUCUGAAGCCAGGUGAAGCCCCUACCCAGAGGAACAAUGAUGCAGGGUAGCUGUGAUCCAGGAGAGGAGGUGGAGUGAGAUGCUUCCUGACUCUCAUCCACUAAUAAUGGUAGAAUUGUAGCCAGUACACAAACUGUCUAUAGUGGGGUCAGACAUUAUUUAAUCACUUGUUAUGUGUUGGGGUUCAGGAUAACAUACCCUGAAUAUGACACCUUGGCGUAUUGAACCUCAAGGAGUUUGAGAAAAACACCAGAAAUAAGGUCACUCUGACAUCCUCCACCUUCUUUCCUGAAACAGGUUAUAAAACUCUCAUGUGAAAGUUUCCCUCCUUAUACCAGGAGGAAACAGACAUCUUUAUCUCUGAAAAAAAAAGAGAAUGAGAAGAAUUCUAACAAACAGGCCUUGCUACAGUUUCCUACAAUCCCUCAUACUCUUUAACCGGUCAGAUUCCUCCAGGAGUGUCCACUCUUCAUCAAACCUAGCAUAAAAUGUGUCUUUCUCAUUUUCUCAGGAAGGCUCUCAUGUCACAGAAAACUUACACUGAACUGGUGAACUUUUCUCCUGUUAAUUGUCAGACCCAGCUGGGAUCCUAAGAGGGUUGAGGAAAACUUUUUAAUCAUAUGUAAUCCUUACAUUUAAUAACUUAGUAUCCUUCUUCCCACCCCCCACCCCACCCUCGCCCUCACAGAGGGGUAAACUGAAGCUCAGACAGUUUGCAUAAUUCUGGAGUCAUUGGUGUCCAGAUAAGACACACAGGAACACUUCUGGGGGAUCCCCCACAUGGGGAAUUUGUGUGUUCUGACUUUGUGGGUUUUACUCUGCCAGGAUGUGGUUAUGUGUAUCUUAUGUUUCCUUCUAGGAGUUUUAUAGUUGUGAUUUUACACUUAGGUCUGUGAUCCAUUUUGAGUUAUUUUUUGUGAAGGGAAUAAGGUCAGUGUCUAGGUUCAUUUUUGUGUGUGUGUAUGGAUAUCUGUUCCAGCACCGUUUGUGGAAAAGGCUGUCUUUUCUCUGUUGCUCUGCCUUUGCUCCUUUGUUAAAGAUCAGAUUUAUGUGAGUCUGUGUCUGGGCUCUCUGUUCUGUUCCAUCGAUGGCUUGGUCUAUUGUUUCAUCAGUACACACUAUCUUGAUUACUUUAGCUUUAGAGUGUUGACCUUAAAAAAUAAAACAGUUCAUUUACCAUCUGAAAAGGUCUUU